UACGUAGGUGGCAAGCGUUGUCCGGAUUUACUGGGCGUAAAGAGCGCGCAGGCGGUCGUCCAAGUCGCGUGUGAAAGCCCCCGGCUCAACUGGGGAGGGUCACGCGAUACUGGUCGACUCGAAGGCAGGAGAGGGUAGUGGAAUUCCCGGUGUAGUGGUGAAAUGCGUUGAGAUACGGUGGAGGAACACCAGUGGCGAAGGCGACUACCUGGCCUGUUCUUGACGCUGAGGCGCGAAAGCUAGGGGAGCAAACGGGGAUUAGAAACCCGUGUAGCUC
rnacentral:rRNA from 1 species